GUCCAUUCUACCUGCCAGGCACUGUACUCAGUCCUGGAGUUAAAGGGGUCGAGAAGACAGGCAGAUAUGUCUCCACCUUCAUGGAAUUUAGGCACCCAGUGGAAGAUAAUACUUACAUGGAGACAACAACCUGCCCAGUUGUGGGACUUUUCUGUAGUAGAAGAGCAGCCUGGUUUAAGCACUGAGAAAGCCUUCAUUUCAGGAAAAAAAUAUUUAGGAAGGACAGUAUCAGAAACCCAAGGAGAGAACCAAACUACAAAACACUGAGAAGUUAAAACACGAAGGGAUUUUGCACAACAGAAGACUUGAUGUCAGUGGCCUUUCCUGUCUUUUGUGAAAGCUUAAACCCUCUGAAGAAAUUAUGCCAGGUGUUCCAGAGAGGGAAGAGAGAGAAGUGACUUUCAAGGCGAUUCCCUUUUCUUAGGAAUGAGAUGACGUUGGAGGCCUCAGUGCUGGCUGAAGGAGAACAAGAUGUCUGCCUUCUCCCUGUGUUCUCACAUGGCCUUUUUUCUGCACACCAACGUAUGUGGUGUCUCCUGCUUUUCUUGUAAAUACGUCAGUCCUUUGAAUUAGGGCCCAGCCUAAUGGCCUCAUAAUCACUCUCUAAGACCUUGUCUCCAAACGCAGUCCUAUUCUGCUGGUGUGCUGGGAGCUAAGGCCUCAAUAUAGGAAUUUGGGAGGGACACAAUUCAGGGGUUAAUACGUAUCUCAAAAUGCAAUAACAUCUAGGUCCUACAGUCUAGAAAAAUAAAACAAGGAGAUGCAGUUGACAUCAGUGUCAGGGUAAUAGCCUUCCUCCUCUUUACUCUGAUCCCCUCUCUUGUCUGCAAAGCAUGGCAUCAUUUUUAACUGGUGGUUUUUCUGAGAACCCUAGGCUGUGUCCUAAAUGCUAAUUUUCUAGAAGGUUUUAACAGACAGCUCUCCAUCAGGGAUCAGUGAAAUGGUGUGGUGGAAAGGACCACAGGGCUAAACUCAUGAAAUGAACAAAGCCUCCGGUCUCCAGGCCCAGCAGUAAGACCUUGGCUAACAGACAAGCUGUGGUGUGCAAAUCUGCUUUCUGCAUUUGACUUCCCAGCCACCUCUGGGGUGUCCAGUACUUGAUUCAAACACACUCAAGACGAAGCACUCAAAUGCUUGCUGAACAUUUCUUUGGUAGGUUUCCAGAGCUUCAUUCUUCUUGUUAAUGGUGACAGAGAAAAUUACACAAGGUGUCCAUGAUGUUUGAUUUGCUACUUGCCUCACAGUUUACUUCAAAGUUCCCUCAGAGUUUUCUGAAUUUUACUUUCUAGAGCAAAUAUUACUGGCAUAGACAUCAAGCAUGCCCAUGCAAUUAUUCUUAAUGGUUGUGGUAAGCAAGUUCUGGAUUUUCAGGUCAGGAGCAAUCUGUGUUUUAGCAAUUAGCAACUAAUGGCCAUGUAGUAAUAAGUUUAGUUGGCACAGGCUUAUUUCUCCAAUUCCCUGAGUCAACAAUGACAAUAGCACCAAUGAAGUGCAAAUAUGAGCAUGUUCCUGUUGAGUUUCCUCCCUUAGCUCUCAUCCUUACCUGGUAAUAAAACGUGGCAUCGCCCCAGGUUCUCCUUUGGUUUCCAUGACUGAAGAUGACAUCUAAGGAGACUUAUCUGAUUAAUCAAAUCAUAAAGUUAGACAGGAGCCCAAGAAACUGUUCAGUUAAAUCUUCCAGGAAAGCUUCAAUGCAACCAAACCAUCAGAGUUUUCCAGGGCAGAAAGGGAGUGUUUCCUGUAUAUUUCGCUGUCAGAAAGGUUUCCUGUGUCAGUCACUCCCUUGCCAGUGUCUGAACUUGAAUUAACUCUAACUCCCACCAUGUCUCCUGACUGAUAUCCAGUCUCAGGAAAAGGCCUGGUGUUCCAACAUUUUGCCAGAAAAUACACAAACUGAA